rfam:Brachypodium distachyon strain Bd21 chromosome 2, whole genome shotgun sequence.
AGUCCAUGAUUAGGACACAUCCUUAUGAGAGCUUGAUACCUCUGCCAUGCAUCAUGCAAACUUUCACCUUGAUACUGCAUAAAUCUUGUUAUCUUGUCUCUAUACU